rnacentral:rRNA from 1 species
AGCGAACGCUGGCGGCGUGCCUAACACAUGCAAGUCGAACGUGAAAAGGGAAACCUGAGUAAAGUGGCGUACGGGUGAGUAACGCGUAGGUAAUCUACCCCAGAAUCUGGAAUCACCUGCCGAAAGGCGGGCUAAUACUGGAUAGAGCGAGGGAACUCGUAAGAGAGUUUUUCGGGAAAGGGAGCCCGCAAGGGCCUUCGUUCUGGGAUGAGCCUGCGUCUCAUUAGCUAGUUGGUAAGGUAACGGCUUACCAAGGCGAUGAUGAGUAGCUGGUCUGAGAGGAUGAUCAGCCACACUGGAACUGAAACACGGUCCAGACUCCUACGGGAGGCAGCAGUGGGGAAUCUUGCGCAAUGGACGAAAGUCUGACGCAGCCACGCCGCGUGAGUGAAGAAGGCCUUCGGGUUGUAAAGCUCUGUCGGAUGGGACGAACAUCUUCAUAGUGAAUAGCUAUGAGGACUGACGGUACCAUCAAAGGAAGCACCGGCUAACUCCGUG